GAGGGAGGCCUGGCUAAGGCCUAUUCACUUGUGGUUCCUUCUUCCUGAGAUAAGGAAUGCUCCAGAGAGGUUGCAGAAUGGAGGCCUCACCUAAGUCUCACCAGCAACGCACUCUAGCCUUGCUCUGCACAGCAGUCAGGGCAGAACCGCACACGUGUGGCAUGGAAUGACUAGAUACUCAGGGCAACCCUGGACAUAAAGCCAAACGCCUGCAAAACACGGAGUCCAGAGCAGUUAGUUACCUGCCCCGCCCUGCGCUCUGGAGCUGGGAGACCCCAGAGCCGCCCAACCAGAUAAAGGCUUGCUGGCCUGCUGGGGAAGCAUGAGAAAUCACAGGGGAAGAAGGGCUGCUCUCUGCAAGCCAGGGCACCAGGGCAGCAGACUGCGAGGUGGGGAAGCAAUCUGGCUCAAAUAAACAAACCAGGAAAUGAGUGUCACCU
ensembl:antisense